GUGAUGUCCAUCGAGUAAGAUCUCAAGUCUUAAACCCCAGCAUUAAAGCCAAACCCAUUGGAACUUGUCAGAGCUCCACCCGCCAUAGGGUAGGGCCCCAGGAUAAAGCCGAGCUCGUUGUACAUGUUUCCUUAACCCUAAAAUCCAUCCACAUCACCCAGCAUCCACAUCAUAUUUAGGGUCAAUUUCAAAACCCAACCGUUAUGCUGCCCAACUCAAACCUAAUAUAUCAACCAAACCUAGCCAUUAUAAUGCGUAACCAAAAUCCCAAAUAUCAUCCAAAUCCUAGCUGAAAUGCUACCCAAUCAAAACCGUAGAUAUCAAUAAAACCUAGUCGCUAUGCUGCCCGUCCAGAACCCUAGGAAAUCCAUUAGUAAAUUUCUUAGAAAUUCUUUUAAAAAUCCAUUCUUGAUUCUUUUAGAAAUUCAACAAUUCUAUCCAUUAAUUAUUUAGAAAUUUAUUUCUAAAUAAUUAAUAAACCAUUCAUCGUUUACACGGGAGUUAUCCAAAGAAAUCUGAUAAUUCCCAAAAUGUCCAUCAAACCGUCC
rnacentral:lncRNA from 1 species